GUCGGGACUCAUGAUAGAGGGACUGAAUCACAUGUGAACUACACCUUGAGAUUCUUUUUUGAUUCUGUUGGGUUAUCACUAUAUACUACUAGAUGUCACUGGUAGAUGGUGAGAGCUCAUUAAGAUUGCUCAGAAAUUGACAAUCCUUGAUGAGUUAGAGUGGAAUUGUUUCGAUCCAUUGAAAAGAGUUUCAAUGAUGCUACUAUAAAAAUUAUUGUAUA
rnacentral:lncRNA from 1 species